rnacentral:rRNA from 1 species
AGAGUUUGAUCCUGGCUCAGGAUUAACGCUGGCGGCGCGCCUAAUACAUGCAAGUCGAACGGAAACCUUCGGGUUUUAGUGGCGAACGGGUGAGUAACACGUAAGCAACCUGCCUUUAAGACGUGGAUAACAAUUGGAAACAGUUGCUAAGACAGGAUAGGAAAUUAAGAGGCAUCUUUUAAUUUUUAAAAGACCUUUUUCGAAAGGUAUACUUAAAGAGGGGCUUGCGCCACAUUAGUUAGUUGGUAAGGUAAAGGCUUACCAAGACGAUGAUGUGUAGCUGGACUGAGAGGUCGAACAGCCACAUUGGGACUGAGACACGGCCCAAACUCCUACGGGAGGCAGCAGUAAGGAAUUUUUGGCAAUGGAGGAAACUCUGACCGAGCGACGUCGCGUGAACAAUGAAGUACUUCGGUAUGUAAAGUUCUUUUAUUGAAAAAGAAAAAAUAGUGGAAAAACUAUCUUGACAUUAUUCAAUGAAUAAGCCCCGGCUAAUUAUGUGCCAGCAGCCGCGGUAAUACAUAAGGGGCGAGCGUUAUCCGGAAUUAUUGGGCGUAAAGGGUGCGUAGGCGGUUUGAUAAGUCUAUAGUUUAAAUGCAGUGCUUAACGCUGUAGCGCUAUAGAAACUGUCUGACUAGAGUUAGAUAGAGGCAAGCGGAAUUCCAUGUGUAGCGGUAAAAUGCGUAAAUAUAUGGAGGAACACCAGAGGCGUAGGCGGCUUGCUGGGUCUUAACUGACGCUGAGGCACGAAAGCGUGGGGAGCAAACAGGAUUAGAUACCCUGGUAGUCCACGCCGUAAACGAUGAGUACUAAGUGUCGGGUUUCGGCUCGGUACUGAAGUUAACACAUUAAGUACUCCGCCUGAGUAGUACGUACGCAAGUAUGAAACUUAAAGGAAUUGACGGGACCCCGCACAAGCGGUGGAUCAUGUUGUUUAAUUCGAAGAUACACGAAAAACCUUACCAGGUCUUGACAUAAUUUUGCGACAUUAUAGAAAUAUAAUGAAGGUUAUCAGAAUUACAGGUGGUGCAUGGUUGUCGUCAGCUCGUGUCGUGAGAUGUUAGGUUAAGUCCUAAAACGAGCGCAACCCUUGUCGUUAGUUGCGACCACGUAAUGGUGAGCACUUUAGCGAGACUGCCAAUGAAAAAUUGGAGGAAGGUGAGGAUUACGUCAAAUCAUCAUGCCCCUUAUGAUCUGGGCUACAAACGUGAUACAAUGGCUGUUACAAAGAGUAGCUACAACGUGAGUUUUUAGCCAAUCUCAAAAAAACAGUCUCAGUUCGGAUUGAAGUCUGCAACUCGACUUCAUGAAGUUGGAAUCGCUAGUAAUCGCGAAUCAGCAUGCCGCGGUGAAUACGUUCUCGGGGUUUGUACACACCGCCCGUCAAACCACGAAAGUUGAUAAUACCCGAAAGCGGUCGCCUAACUUCGUCAGAAGAGGGAGCCGUCUAAGGUAGGAUCGAUGAUUGGGGUUAAGUCGUAACAAGGUAUCCCUACCGGAAGGUGGGGAUGGAUCACCUCCUUUCU